rnacentral:rRNA from 1 species
UACGUAGGGGGGCAAGCGUUGUCCGGAUUUACUGGGCGUAAAGAGCGUGUAGGCGGCCACGCAGGUCCGUUGUGAAAACUGGAGGCUCAACCUCCAGCUGUCGAGCGGAAACCGUGUGGCUAGAGUCCGGAAGAGGAGAGUGGAAUUCCUGGUGUAGCGGUGAAAUGCGCAGAUAUCAGGAGGAACGACCGAUGGCGAAGGCAGGUCUCUGGGCAUUAACUGACGCUGAGGAGCGAAAGCAUGGGGAGCGAACAGG